ACCUGGUUGAUCCUGCCAGUAGUGAUAUGCUUGUCUCAAAGAUUAAGCCAUGCAAGUCUAAGUAUAAAUCAUUUUUACUGAUGAAACUGCGAACGGCUCAUUAAAUCAGUUAUAGUUUAUUUGAUGGUAUUGGGACUUGUCCCAACUACAUGGAUAACUGUAGUAACCUAGAGCUAAUACAUGGAAAUCAACCUAACUAGUAUUCGGAAAGGUUGGCACUUAUUAGAUAACAAACCAAUACCUUCGGGUUUUAAAUGGUGAAUCAUAAUGACUGAACAGAUCGCAUGGCCUUUGUGCCGGCGACGUUUCAUUCAAAUUUCUGCCUAUCAACUAGAUGUUAGUAUAUAGGACUAACAUGGUUUUAACGGGUGACGGGGAAUUGGGGUUCGAUUCCGGAGAAGGAGCAUGAGAAACGGCUACUACUUCUAAGGAAAGCAGCAGGCGCGCAAAUUAUUCAAUGGAAACAAAUUUCCGAAAUAGUGACAAAAAAUAACAAUGUAUUGCACAAUGUGUGAUACAAUUGGAAUGAGUACAAUUUAAAACCCUUAACGAGUAACAAUUAGAGGGCAAGUCUGGUGCCAGCAGCCGCGGUAAUUCCAGCUCUAAUAGCGUAUAUUAAUAUUGUUGCAGUUAAAAAGCUCGUAGUUGAAACUUGAGUAUUUCUAUCAAGUUUGGUCUACCUUUUAAGGUUUUGACUACUUGAUGAUACUCUUCCUACUAGUAACUCGAUUAUGUUCUUAAUUGAAUGUAAUAGCUAUCUCUCGGGGUAGUCAAUCUAUGGGAAUAGCUCCACCAUACCAAUGGAUGUGUGUAAAAGCACUGAAAGAGGAUGAGUGGAUCAAGUUAAUUUUGUAGAUUGGAGUUCUAGUUCGUUUACUUUGAGAAAAUUAGAGUGUUUAAAGCAGCCUCUUGGGGCUCUGAAUACAUUAGCAUGGGAUAAUAGAAUAGGAUUUAAGUCACUAUAUUUGUUGGUUUGAAUGAUCUUAAAUAAUGAUUAAUAGGGACAGUUGGGGGUAUUUAUAUUGGAUGGUUAGCGGUGAAAUGCAGGAUCCAUUCAAGAUAAACUAAAGCGAAACCAUUUACCAAGGAUGUUUUCAUUAAUCAAGAACGAAAGUUAAGGGAUCGAAGACGAUCAGAUACCGUCGUAGUCUUAACUAUAAACUAUGCCGACCAGGGAUAUGAGUUGUUAUGAAUAGUAUUUUAAUAGUACUAUUCAACUUCCCCUUGUGGACCUUGUGAGAAAUCAUAAGUUUUUGGGUUCUGGGGGGAGUAUGGUCGCAAGGCUGAAACUUAAA
rnacentral:rRNA from 1 species